CCUACGGGUGGCAGCAGUGGGGAAUAUUGCGCAAUGGGCGAAAGCCUGACGCAGCGACGCCGCGUGAGGGAUGAAGGUCUUCGGAUCGUAAACCUCUGUCAGCAGGGAAGAACGGUCACUGGGCUAAUCAGCAGUGAAUUGACGGUACCUGCAAAGGAAGCACCGGCUAACUCCGUGCCGGCAGCCGCGGUCAUACGGAGGGUGCGAGCUGUAAGCGGAAUUACUGGGCGGAAAGCGCUCGUAGGCGGUAUGUCAAGUAAAGGGUGAAAGCCCUAGGCUUAACGUGGGAACGGCCUUUGAAACUGGCAAACUAGAGUGUGUGAGAGGAUAGUGGAAUUCCAGGUGUAGGAGUGAAAUCCGUAGAUAUCUGGAGGAACAUCAGUGGCGAAGGCGACUAUCUGGCACAUAACUGACGCUGAGGAGCGAAAGCGUGGGUAGCAAACAGGAUUAGAUACCCUGGUAGUC
rnacentral:rRNA from 1 species